AGAGCUAACAAGGUCCUCAUUCUCUUUUCUUCUUCCUGGGGACCCAGCCUGGCAGGCAGCAUGCCAUUCCUGAAAGCACUCCUUGUGUCCUCCUUCUGGGCCUUUGGACUUGGGCAGUUGCAGCAACCCAUGCUGUUAAUUUCCAGAACAGCAGACCGGAGUGCCCACAUAUCCUGUAAGGUGUCCACCCAGAAUUUUGAUGAUGAAGUCAUAUUCUGGUAUUUGCAGAAACCAAAUCAAGGCAUAGAGCACAUACUCUACAUCUGGAAAAGUCGCAUUGGUGAUGAGAGCCAUAAAUUUGAGGCUAGUAAAAAUUCAGAUACUUCAACAACAGACCUGAAAAUAAAUUUCUUAGAAAAAGGAGAUGAGGCCAUGUACUACUGUGCUGUAUACCACUGGGUUGAAUCACUGUGGGAUGCUUAUGUAAAGCUCUUCAGUACUGGAACAAGGCUUAUUGUCACAGAUAAGAGUAUGGAUGGAGACUUCUCCCCCAAGCCCACGAUUUUCCUCCCUUCCAUUGCUGAAACAACACUGCAUAAGGCUGGGACCUAUCUCUGUCUUCUUGAGAAUUUUUUCCCUGAUGCCAUCCAGGUGUACUGGAAAGAGAAGAACAGCGAUAAGGUGUUGGAAUCCCAGCAGGGAAACACCAUGAAGAUUAAAGACACAUACAUGAAAUUCAGCUGGCUAACUGUGCCUCAGAAGUCAUUCAGUAAGGAGCACAGGUGCAUUGUCCAACACGAGACUAAAGCAGGAGGGCGUGAUCAAGAGAUUCUCUUUCCUGCAAUACAAAAAGGAGAAGCAGUUGACAGUGAAAGUAACCCCGAUAUUGUUGGAGAUGAACAACAUGUCCUGAUGCUGCAGCUCACACAGACGUCUGCGUACUACACGUACCUCCUUCUGCUCGUCAAGAGUGCUGUGUACCUGGCCAUCGUCACCUUCUCGAUGUUUAGAAGAACAGCCAUCUGUGGUGUGCAAAGAGCUCCUAACCAAUGAUGGUACAAAGAGUUCAUCUUUUUAUGCUGUUUAUUCUCUCUGGCAGUGUCUGUAGAGGAUUUAGCUGGGUGUUCUUUCUGAAUUUAGGUUAUGUAAGCACCCAUGUGUAUUUUUCUGUUAUGUCAUCAUGGCACAAUGGUUUUGCAAAGCAGUGGUCAAGUAAGCCUUCACACUGUGAGACAAGGAAUGGCCUAAGGUAGCUGUCACGCUACUCUCUCCAGUGCCCAGCAGCCCCUCCUGCCAACACAGCAUGCACAGCCUCGGUGUGGGCAGUGUGCAGCCUUUAGAUGUGCCCUUGGCAUCCUUUAACUGCAAAACAGCUUGCAAGCCUCCCAUGUUACACAUCUUGAAGCAGCCUUCCUUGCUAUUUGAAUUGUCAUUUUUUUUUUGCAACAGGCAUCUUCAGAUAAAUAAAUUUCAAAAACUCCAAAGUCAA